GUAGAACUCAUCAAGGUGCAUCUACAUAUGAAGUUUCAAAGUUGUAGGUGGAAGCACUUUGAUAUUAGAGGCAAUUUGAAGGUUUUAGCACGACGCCUAUGUUGGACGGCGGACGAGCUGGCUAUGACAAUAGCUCGGUUUUUCUCUGAAAA